ACACAAAACAAAUUAAUGAUUACAGAGAUAAAUUUUUAUCUUCGAAAAUUCUAGUUAUCAGCGGUUGUAUAAACUGAUGUAGUUUAGGUAACUUGAUAUUAAAUCUGUUUUAUCGAUAAAAUAUCGUUCAAUCGAUAAUUUGUUAUAUCGAUAUUCACCGUUAUAGUUAUUUUCUUUACGUUUGUCAUGAGUCUUUUAUACUAAACUUUUUAAUAAGGAUCCAAUAACAUCAAAGUAUAAUCGUUAAAUUGAAAGUAUCAUUGAAAAUAGUUUCAAGGUCGUAUAAAGGUGCCGUAACAUAAAUUCGUAAAAGUAAUAUUAUCCUGUUUAACUUUUCCACGUUAUAACUAUAGAAGAUGAUAUUAGCCGGUCAUUUAUGGGCAAAAUCUGUAAUGCGUAUGCAACCAUCGGGUUUGAUGUUUAAUAUAAAAAAACGAUGGUACGAAUCAAACUCGGGUGAACAUAUUAGACAACAAGUUUUAACGCACACUAGUAUUUUCGUAGAAGAAGGAUUAGCGAUACAAGAAGUUCCUUUGAUCGUUAGAAAGAUUAAUAAUAUCGAAGCAAUAUGUAAUAAUAAGGAUAAACAUAGCCUCUCUGUUGUUAAUCUCCCUAAUAUAUCCAAAAAGAACAAUCAAGUCAAAUCGCGCGAUAAAAAUGAAUCAAAUCCGCAAAGUAAUUCCAAAAUAAAAGAUAAAUCAUUGAGUCGAAGACUGGAUAUUGAAACAGAGGAUGGAACUGCGAUAUUAUUCUGUCCCGAUUUGAAAUCAUUUAAAGAAGCAGAUGUACAGAAAGCUUUGCAAGAAUUACAGUCGUUUAAUACAGCCGAUGGUUCCUAUUCAAUGCUGGACGAUAAGAUCACGCAAGAAUUAAAUUGCAGAGUAGCUUUAGAAGGAUUAAAAAAGGUCAUAGAAUUAGAGAAUAGUUGGGUUAAGCAGAAAUCUAAUAAGAUGCAGAGAAAUAGACAGAUGGAGAUUGACACUACUGCUAGAGAUAUCGUGAUGAAACAAUUGAUUAAAUUAAUUAUUAGCAGCAAUGAUAGCGAAAUGAUACUUCAAGGUCUUAUCGCAUUGAAGAAGGAUAAAAUUAGUCCUGCUAGAAAUACAUGUAGGGACUGGAUGUGUGAUGAGGCUUUAGGUCGAGCGACAGAUGGAGAAUUUUCACCUGCACAGUUGAUAAAUUUAAUAAAAAUUUUAUCGUCUUAUAAGGAUUCGAAGUAUCGUAAAUCGGUAGACACUUUAUGGGUCGGUAUUGUGCUUCGACAAAACGAGAUCACUUCCCAUACAUUAGUGGCGUUAUUUAAAAUGUUAAAAUAUUUUAAUCAGAGUAAAAACAUGGUGAAGCUUAUUCUUGAAAGGAAACUUUCUAGCUAUUACUUAAAGUUAACGGGCACGCAAAUUUCAGAAAUACUAAAUUGUUUUUACGACGAUGUCUCCGCGAAGAAUUGUUUGCAGAGUGCCAGCAAAUGGACUGAGGUAAACAUGAAUACAUCAACUGAAAGAGAUCUAAUAAAUUUUAUACGAAGUUUAAACGCGAAAGAUUAUAUUGACGAUAAAAUUGAGUACAGUUUACAAGAUUAUUUGAAGUCUAAAGCACCGCAGAUCGAAAAUUCAAAAUUAAUAGCAGCGAUUAUGGAGUAUUGUAAAAAUCUUCAAGUUAAAAAUGAACAUAUCAUGUCGGAAUGUGGGGAAUAUUUUAUAAAACAUGCUACGAAUAUACCAACUUCUUUACUACCCUCUAUUCUUACACCAUUUGGAUUUUUGUACGUACAACUACCAAAUUCCACGGAAUUUUGGAAAACAUUUGAUGAUGUGUUAUCAGUAAAAUUUCACGACUUAAAAUUAGACGAUGCUCUAGAUAUUCUUCUCUCUUGUACUUAUUUAGAAAGAUAUCCUACAAAAUUUUUCGAUAAAAUAUUUAUUUCACAAUUACUUCAUAAAUUUAAUUUAAGAAGUCAUUCUGGUUUUUUUAAUCGAAUAAAGAACAAAUUAAAGCUAUUAGAUGCCACUAUGUUUUUGGAAUGCAAGGAUUAUAAAACUAUGCAUUUCCCUUUAGGGAGAAUAGACAAACCAUUAUUUCUAGAUGAAAGAAUUCGAAGAUCAGUGAAUAUGAUAUAUCAACCAUUAGCAUCUUUGAUCGGUGGAGAUAAAAAAUUAAGUAAAAACGUGAUUUUAAAUCAACUUCCAGUCAUAAAUUUUUACGUGCUUGAUAUUGUAAUACAUCCUCGUAUAGUAUCAAGUUCAGUAUUUCAUUUGAAUUCGGGACAGAAGAAGAAUAUAAAUACUGCAGUUUUGAUUUAUUUGCCAGAGUAUUAUUGUAGAAAUACGCGUUUCUUAAUAGGACCUCAAAUAAUGAGAAAAAGACAAAUAAAAAAGUUAGGUUUCCGAGUUAUGGUAUUGGACUAUACAACAUUGCAAGAAGUCUGGAAUCAGUGUGAUAAAUUGUCAUCUUAUUUGUUAGAAAGUUUACAUUCGGCAGAAGAUGCUCUGUAAUGCGUAAGCGAUAAGAAUUGAAAGCAAUGUGAUUAUCGAAAUGUAUUGCGUAAUGUAUGAAAUACAAAUUUCUCAGAAGAUCAUUUUUUAGUGACAAUAAAAAUCCGAGUUAUAAAAUCAGCAGAAGAAAUUAAGGUAUUAGAGUAUGUGAUUAAAAUAAGUUCCGAUGCGCACAAAUCAGUGAUGCAAAUGGUAAAGCCAGGCUUAGCAGAAUUUCAAAUGGAAUCAGCUU